ACCAGACUGAAUGUUGGAAGUGAUACCCGCCCCACCCUGAAGGUGUUGGGUCCCUCCAGUGCAGAGCUGGAGAAUGGGAAGGCCACGCUCAUGUGUGUGGCCAACAAGGGCUUCCCCUCAGACUGGAGUCUGUCCUGGAAGGUGGAUGGCAGUGGCAGCAUCAGCUGGGAGGAGAGCAGGAGCCCUGUGGUGCAGGAGAACGACGGCCUCUACAGCUGGAGCAGCACCCUGAGGCUCCCUGCAGACCGCUGGAUGAAGGUGGGCUCUGUGACCUGUGAGGCCACCCAGAGCUCCCAGACUCUGGUCUCAGAGAUACUGAGGAGAGACCAGUGUUCCCAGUCCUGAUGUCAUUUACUGAGUCUUUGUUGCUGUUUUUCUUGUGGUACUGCUCU